rnacentral:rRNA from 1 species
UACAGAGGUCUCAAGCGUUGUUCGGAUUCAUUGGGCGUAAAGGGUGUGUAGGUGGCGCCGUAAGUCGGGUGUGAAAUCUCGGGGCUUAACUCCGAAACUGCAUUCGAUACUGCGGUGCUUGAGGACUGGAGAGGAGACUGGAAUUCAUGGUGUAGCAGUGAAAUGCGUAGAGAUCAUGAGGAAGACCAAUUGCGAAGGCAGCUCGCUGGGACGUUACUGACGCUGGAGACGCGAAAGCGUGGGGAGCAAACAGG